GUCCACGCCGUAAACGAUGAGUGCUAGGUGCUGCGGGUAUUGACCCCUGCGGUGCCGUAGCUAACGCGUUAAGCACUCCGCCUGGGGAGUACGGCCGCAAGGCUAAAACUCAAAGGAAUUGACGGGGGCCCCGCACAAGCGGUGGAGCAUGUGGUUCAAUUCGACGCAACGCGCAGAACCUUACCUGGGUUAAAUCCACUCGAAGCUGGCAGAGAUGCCGGGGUGCCCUUCGGGGAACGAGUGAGAAGGUGCUGCAUGGCUGUCGU
rnacentral:rRNA from 1 species